CCUACGGGUGGCAGCAGUGGGGAAUAUUGGACAAUGGGCGAAAGCCUGAUCCAGCCAUGCCGCGUGUGUGAAGAAGGCCUUCGGGUUGUAAAGCACUUUCAGUGGGGAAGAAAGCCUUGGGGCUAAUACCCUCGAGGAAGGACAUCACCCACAGAAGAAGCACCGGCUAACUCCGUGCCAGCAGCCGCGGUAAUACGUGAGGGUGCGGCGUUAAUCGGAAUUACUGGGCGUAAAGCGCGCGUAGGCGGUCUGAUAAGCCGGUUGUGAAAGCCCCGGGCUCAACCUGGGAACGGCAUCCGGAACUGUCAGGCUAGAGGGCAGGAGAGGAAGGUAGAAUUCCCGGUGUAGCGGUGAAAUGCGUAGAGAUCGGGAGGAAUACCAGUGGCGAAGGCGGCCUUCUGGACUGACACUGACGCUGAGGUGCGAAAGCGUGGGUAGCAAACAGGAUUAGAUACCCGAGUAGU
rnacentral:rRNA from 1 species